UACGGGGGGUGCAAGCGUUGAUCGGAUUGACUGGGCGUAAAGGGAGCGUAGGCGGCUUGAAAAGUAGGAUGUGAAAUCUUGAGGCUCAACCUCAAAACUGCAUCCUAAACUUUCAAACUAGAGGGUGGUAGGGGAAAACAGAAUUCUGCAUGUAGCGGUGAAAUGCGUAGAUAUGCAGAGGAAUACCGGUGGCGAAGGCGGUUUUCUGUACCAUUCCUGACGCUGAGGCUCGAAAGUAUGGGGAGCAAACAGG
rnacentral:rRNA from 1 species